GGUAGUAUGGUUCAAAUGAUAGAACACAGCCCUACCAAGAAUGAAGUCCUGAGUUCAAAGCCCAGUACCACCU
rnacentral:tRNA from 1 species